UACGUAGGUGGCAAGCGUUGUCCGGAAUUAUUGGGCGUAAAGCGCGCGCAGGCGGUUAUGUAAAUCUGAUGUUAAAGCCCGGGGCUCAACCUCGGUUCGCAUUGGAAACUGCGUAACUUGAGUGCAGAAGAGGAAAGUGGUAUUCCACGUGUAGCGGUGAAAUGCGUAGAGAUGUGGAGGAACACCAGUGGCGAAGGAGACUUUUUGGUCUGUAACUGAAGCUGAGGCGCGAAAGCGUAGGGAGCAAACAGG
rnacentral:rRNA from 1 species